rnacentral:lncRNA from 1 species
GUAGUCCUGUUGUUGCCCUGUGUCAUGCAGAUGCUGCAACCCUGGAUCAGCAGGACUGGCUCCUACAUGCAUCCCAACUGUUUAUAGAUGAUAUGGAUUUUGAGGCUGAGCUCUUCAGCAGUGCUUUGGCUAGGCCACCCAAAGCCACCAUCUGCAGCAGACAAGGUCAAUUCUUCUGCUCUCAUGCCUUGGCCAUCAUGACCAGCUAGCUCCACUGUGUUGCUGGCCAGGUGAAGAAGUCACAUGUGGUGAAUAUAUUAUCAUCAGAAUGCGGAGCAAUGAAAUGUAAACAGAUAGGAAUCGUCACUAAAGCUCCAACUGCAGCCUCCGGGUGCCAUAGCUUUUGCACCAUCCAUUUGCACCAUCUCUGCAGAUGUCUGCAUCAUCUGUAUUGACCUGCUCCCCAGAUUAAUACCGAAGCACUGCAAUUUCUUGAGGAUUAUCCACCUAGGAGGAAAUGAUACGCUGGCCCAUCCAUAGUAGUCAAGGGAACCACCAUCUCAGAUGGUAGAAACCACUCAGAAGGAUCAACUGCUGCAGACGGGAAGAGGAGCAACCUCGUGAAUAAUUUCGUGACAGGAUAUUGCAGGAGGGACUUUGUCCAAAUGUGUGCAGGGUAGUUGGCUACAGCAACAAGGAUGACGAACACAGAUGAAUUGAUCAGGAUGUAACCAUUCAAAGUUGAGAGGAUUAGAGGACUUCUCCGAGGCGGCUCCAAUGGAUGCCAGCAGAGUUAAAGUGUCCAAUGGAGAGAAGAGAAGGCUUGGGAAAUCCAGAGUCCAUUCAUUCAUCGCCCUCCUCCUAGAACAACAAAAGCGAGCCCCAGUACUCAUCA